rnacentral:rRNA from 1 species
CAGCCGCCGCGGUAAUACGGAGGGUGCAAGCAUUAAUCGGAAUUACUGGGCGUAAAGCGCACGCAGGCGGUUUGUUAAGUCAGAUGUGAAAUCCCCGAGCUUAACUUGGGAACUGCAUUUGAAACUGGCAAGCUAGAGUCUUGUAGAGGGGGGUAGAAUUCCAGGUGUAGCGGUGAAAUGCGUAGAGAUCUGGAGGAAUACCGGUGGCGAAGGCGGCCCCCUGGACGAAGACUGACGCUCAGGUACGAAAGCGUGGGGAGCAAACAGGAUUAGAGACCCGAGUAGUCCCUGUCUCUUAUAC